rfam:Triticum aestivum genome assembly, contig: Triticum_aestivum_CS42_TGACv1_scaffold_049486_1BS
CUUAUAUUCCCUCCGUCUCAAAAUUUUUGUCUUAAUUUUGUCUAAAUACAGAUGUAUCAAAUCACAUUUUAGUAUUAGGUACAUCCGUGUCUUGACAAAUUUAAGACAAGAAUUUUAAGACGGAGGGAAUACAAA